rnacentral:rRNA from 1 species
GACGAACGCUGGCGGCGUGCCUAAUACAUGCAAGUCGAACGCAGUGGGGACGGGUGAGUAACACGUGGGUAACCUCCCAUCAGAGGGGAUAACACUUGGAAACAGGUGCUAAACCGAUACUGAUGGAUGGACAAGCGGUGCAUUAGCUAGUUGGUGAGGUAACGGCUCACCAAGGCCACGAUGCAUAGCCGACCGUAGAGGGUGAUCGGCCACACUGGUACUGAGCCACGGCCCAGCAUCCUACGGGAGGCAGCAGUAGGGAAGCUUCGGCAAUGGACGAAAGUCUGACCGAGCAACGCCGCGUGAGUGAAGAAGGUUUUCGGAUCGUAAAACUCUGUUGUUAGAGAAGCGGUAUCUAACCAGAAAGCACCGGCUAACUACGUGCCAGCAGCCGCGGUAAUAC